rnacentral:lncRNA from 1 species
GCUGGCUGUCACACUGGCCCACACUGGGUAGCCUGAACCCCAGGUCCACUCCUACGGUCUGGUGUAGUGACGAGCUUGGUGGCACCAGGGUCCCGGGGCUGCCACAGUGAGGGACUAGCAGGCGACAGAACUUCUCUGCUGACCAGGAAUCCGCAGCUCAGGCGCCAGUGGGGUUGGAAGCAGCCUGGUGACCACAGAGGCAGGUUGGGAAGAAGCAGAGAAUUUGGCUGCAGGGAGAGAGGGGAGGGGGGAGCCUGUGCCAUACAGACUGCCCUGGCCACUGUCACAGAAGCCUAGUAACAUUGACUGUGGCCAUGAGGAAAUCUGUCCUCCCGCAGAACACCAUGUGUGCAGUGGACUGGGCCCGGGGCACCGAGUGGCAGCUCAGGGGUCACGGGUCAGACCCUUCCCAUCUUGCUGUGGGUGGCCUUCCCUCACCUCAUGGCUACAAAAUGACUGCCUUGCUGCAAGCUCUUACACCCAGACUUGACUGUCCAUUCCAGAUUUGGAGCUCAUGGCCAAGAAUUUUGGAUGCUUUCAACACGCAGUCCCAUGCGCUGAGUUCUCACACACAGCGGUGGACGUCACGGCUAUAAUCAGUAGAAAAACGACUCGUUUCUUGCGGUCUUCCCAAUCUUCAUCCACCUGGGGCUGCUCUCCCAUUGUUCCCGGCCAGCACGGAGCUGCCCUGUUUGAUGGUAAGAAGACCAUAUUCUCAUGUUUGGUGAAAAAAAAAUUGUUAUUCUUUUAUCUGCAAUCUUCUUUUUUCCUUUCUACAGUUACUAAAUUUUCAACCCAAAUGAAACUAAGUUUAAUAAAAAUUCCACUCACACUUCAGUUUGCAUGACAAGCCUUCAACCCUGAAUACAGCCGUACAAUUUCUCUUUUUCAAAAUCUGACAGCCCUGACACCCACACACUUCCAGCGUCCAGCCUGGUCUUCCCACACCUCUCCUCAGCUUCCUUUUUAUUUGUAUAACCGUUUUCUUUUUGAAGCACUUCACAUUUAUAAUAAAGUGUGAAGAUACAUACA